AUGUUGUUCUUUUGCCUCUGAUGAAAUUUUACCAUUCACUACAGGUUUCAACGAUUUCUUGAGCUUAACCAAUCCUUCAUUUCCAUUUACACCUUGAACAAACAAGGCACACUUGGUUCUUCCACCUACUGUCAUGAUCUCAGCUCUCACUGCCUUUGUUUUGGCUGCUUUCAGCGACUCUGCAACCUCUGACAUUAGCCCUUCUCUGUCGCUACAACUGAAUACGACUCUUGCCAAGUCUCUGUUGUUAUUACAGUGACCCAAUCUCAAGCUGUCUUCUAAAGAUGGUGUGGUUGGUAUGUCCUGAACCAUCUUUUUCAAUUCGUUGAAGUACCUGACAGUCUCUCCAAGCACAGAUGCUUUAUCCUGCUGUUUAGUUUCAUUUAACAUAAUGGAAAUUAAGAAAGUGUUAAUUCUCUGACUUAUAUGUAUUUUGUGUGAUUGGAUGGGGAGCUAUAUAACUUACUUUGACCAAGUUUGGAAGAAUAGUGCGGAGAGUUGCAAAUUGGCAGUUAAUCCUAAGCCGUCGUCUUCUCUCUGCGU
rnacentral:lncRNA from 1 species